rnacentral:rRNA from 1 species
AGCUCCAAUAGCGUAUAUUAAAGUUGUUGCAGUUAAAAAGCUCGUAGUUGGAUUUCUGGUUUGAUGCCUGGCCGCUUCAAAUUUUGGAGUGUGUGCCGGCUGUGCGUCUGCCAUCCUUCUAGAAAACGUUCGUACCUUCACUGGGCCGCGUUCGAGAUCUAGAUCUUACUUUGAAAAAAUUAGAGUGUUUAAAGCAGGCA